rnacentral:rRNA from 1 species
UACGAAGGGGGCUAGCGUUGCUCGGAAUCACUGGGCGUAAAGGGUGCGUAGGCGGGUCUUUUAAGUCAGGGGUGAAAUCCUGGAGCUCAACUCCAGAACUGCCUUUGAUACUGAAGAUCUUGAGUUCGGGAGAGGUGAGUGGAACUGCGAGUGUAGAGGUGAAAUUCGUAGAUAUUCGCAAGAACACCAGUGGCGAAGGCGGCCCUCGGACCUGCC